rnacentral:tRNA from 1 species
CAGGGGGUAGUUUAUAUAGAAUAUUAGUUUUGGGUAUUAAUGGUAAAGUUAUCUUUUCCUCUGA